rnacentral:misc_RNA from 1 species
UCAAACUUGGUCAUUUAGAGGAAGUAAAAGUCGUAACAAGGUUUCCGUAGGUGAACCUGCGGAAGGAUCAUUCAUAACAGGCCCAGUAUGGGGGCACUUUAAAAUUUCCAUAUUCUCCACCUUGUGCGCAAUGUUUUUUAACAUAUUUAAACGCUUAAAAAAUUUUUUAAAUUGUCUGAAAUAAAUAUUGUGAAUUUUUUUAAUUCAAAAUACAACUUUCAACAACGGAUCUCUUGGCUCUCGCAUCGAUGAAGAACGCAGC